AUACACACAUGCACACACACACAUUUAUAUAUAUAUAUGUAUAUAUACACACAUGCAUAUAUAUUUAGUGUGUGCAUGUAUGUGUGUGUGU
rnacentral:miRNA from 1 species